rnacentral:lncRNA from 1 species
UAGGAGGAAAAAAAACUCACUUCACCAUGGAACAUUUCAGAACCAGCCUUUCGGAUGAGAAGGUUUCAAGCACAAGUCAUACAUCAUAUUCAGCAUAACGUGUUUAGCUCUUCCUCUAAUGAGACUAGACCCAGAAUGGUAUGAAUUGAGACGUGUUGGCAGACUCUUAGUCUAAUUUAGCUUGAAUCAGUAUCUGGGUAGGUAUUCUCUAAGCCCCACAAGCCACAAGUACAUGUCCACCCAACGUCCGGUGGGGAAAAUGAGCGGUCCUAACUUCUCCACUCACCAACCAUGCAGCACAACCACCAC